UACGGGGGGGCAAGCGUUGUUCGGAAUUACUGGCGUAAAGGGCUCGUAGGCGGCCACUAAGUCGGAUGUGAAAUCCCAGCUCAACCUGGGAACUGCAUCCGAUACUGGAUGGCUUGAAUUCGGGAGAGGGAUGCGAGAAUUCCAGGUGUAGCGGUGAAAUGCGUAGAUAUCUGGAGGAAUACCGGUGGCGAAGGCGGCAUCCUGGACCGACAUUGACGCUGAGGCGCGAAAGCCAGGGGAGCAA
rnacentral:rRNA from 1 species